GACGAACGCUGGCGGCGUGCCUAAUACAUGCAAGUCGAACGCAGGGGGGACGGGUGAGUAACACGUGGGUAACCUCCCAUCAGAGGGGAUAACACUUGGAAACAGGUGCUAAACCGAUACUGAUGGAUGGACCCGCGGUGCAUUAGCUAGUUGGUGAGGUAAAUGCUCACCAAGGCCACGAUGCCUAGCCGACCUGAGAGGGUGAUCGGCCACCCUGGAACGUGGACACGGCCCAGACUCCUACGGGAGGAAGCAGUAGGUAAUCUUCGUCAAUGGACGAAAGCCUGACCGAGCAACGCCGCGUGAGUGAAGAAGGUUUUCGGAUCGUAAAACUCUGUUGUUAGAGAAGCGGUAUCUAACCAGAAAGCCACGGCUAACUACGUGCCAGCCGCCGCGGUAAUAC
rnacentral:rRNA from 1 species